rnacentral:rRNA from 1 species
UACGGGGGGGGUAAGCGUUGUUCGGAAUUACUGGGCGUAAAGGGCUCGUAGGCGGCCAACUAAGUCAUACGUGAAAUCCCUCGGCUUAACCGGGGAACUGCGUCCGAUACUGGUUGGCUUGAGUUUGGGAGAGGGAUGCGGAAUUCCAGGUGUAGCGGUGAAAUGCGCAGAUAUCAGGAGGAACACCAACGGCGAAGGCAGCACUCUGGGCCGGUACUGACGCUGAGGAGCGAAAGCGUGGGGAGCAAACAGG